rnacentral:rRNA from 1 species
AGUGAACGCUGGCGGUAGGCCUAACACAUGCAAGUCGAACGGCAGCACAGUAAGAGCUUGCUCUUACGGGUGGCGAGUGGCGGACGGGUGAGGAAUACAUCGGAAUCUACUUUUUCGUGGGGGAUAACGUAGGGAAACUUACGCUAAUACCGCAUACGACCUACGGGUGAAAGCAGGGGAUCUUCGGACCUUGCGCGAUUGAAUGAGCCGAUGUCGGAUUAGCUAGUUGGCGGGGUAAAGGCCCACCAAGGCGACGAUCCGUAGCUGGUCUGAGAGGAUGAUCAGCCACACUGGAACUGAGACACGGUCCAGACUCCUACGGGAGGCAGCAGUGGGGAAUAUUGGACAAUGGGGGCAAGCCUGAUCCAGCCAGACCGCGUGGGUGAAGAAGGCCUUCGGGUUGUAAAGCCCUUUUGUUGGGAAAGAAAAGCAGCAGGUUAAUACCCCGCUGUUCUGACGGUACCCAAAGAAUAAGCACCGGCUAACUUCGUG